rnacentral:rRNA from 1 species
UACGUAGGGUGCGAGCGUUGUCCGGAAUUAUUGGGCGUAAAGAGCUUGUAGGCGGUUUGUCGCGUCUGCUGUGAAAUUUCGGGGCUCAACCCCGAACUUGCAGUGGGUACGGGCAGACUAGAGUGUGGUAGGGGAGACUGGAAUUCCUGGUGUAGCGGUGAAAUGCGCAGAUAUCAGGAGGAACACCGAUGGCGAAGGCAGGUCUCUGGGCCGAUACUGACACUGAGGAGCGAAAGCGUGGGGAGCGAACAGG